CCUACGGAUGGCUGCAGUGGGGAAUAUUGGACAAUGGGGGGAACCCUGAUCCAGCCAUGCCGCGUGUGUGAAGAAGGCCCUCGGGUUGUAAAGCACUUUCAGUGAGGAAGAACGCCUGGUGGUUAAUACCCAUCAGGAAAGACAUCACUCACAGAAGAAGCACCGGCUAACUCCGUGCCAGCAGCCGCGGUAAUACGGAGGGUGCGAGCGUUAAUCGGAAUUACUGGGCGUAAAGCGCGCGUAGGUGGCUUGAUAAGCCGGUUGUGAAAGCCCCGGGCUCAACCUGGGAACGGCAUCCGGAACUGUCAAGCUAGAGUGCAGGAGAGGAAGGUAGAAUUCCCGGUGUAGCGGUGAAAUGCGUAGAGAUCGGGAGGAAUACCAGUGGCGAAGGCGGCCUUCUGGACUGACACUGACACUGAGGUGCGAAAGCGUGGGUAGCAAACAGGAUUAGAUACCCGUGUAGUC
rnacentral:rRNA from 1 species